ACGGAGGGUGCAAGCGUUACUCGGAAUCACUGGGCGUAAAGAGCGGGUAGGCGGAUAUAUAAGUCAGAAGUGAAAUCCAAUGGCUUAACUAUUGAACGGCAUUUGAAACUGUAUAUCUGGAAUGCGGGUGAGGAAGAUAGAAUUUCUGGUGUAGGGGUAAAAUGCGUAGAGAUCAGAAGGAAUACCGAUGGCGAAGGCAGUCUACUGGAACAUUAUUGACGCUGAGCCGCGAAAGUGUGGGGAGCAAACAG
rnacentral:rRNA from 1 species